rnacentral:tRNA from 1 species
GAAAAGUUGGCUCAGUGGUAGAGUGCUUGCUUUGCAUGCAUGAGGCCCUGGGUUUGAUUUCUCA